rnacentral:rRNA from 1 species
AUUGAACGCUGGCGGCAGGCCUAACACAUGCAAGUCGAGCGGAUGCAGGCCGCUUGCUCCUGGCUUCAGCGGCGGACGGGUGAGUAAUGCCUGGGAAUCUGCCUGGUAGUGGGGGAAAACGUCGGGAAACGGGCGCUAAUACCGCAUACGUCGUGAGGGAGAACGGGGGGGCUCGUCGGACCUCACGCCCUCAGAUGAUCCUAGGUCGGAUUAGCUAGUUGGUGGGGUAAAGGCCUACCAAGGCGACGAUCCGUAGCUGGUCUGAGAGGAUGAUCAGUCACACUGGAACUGAGACACGGUCCAGACUCCUACGGGAGGCAGCAGUGGGGAAUAUUGGACAAUGGGCGAAAGCCUGAUCCAGCCAUGCCGCGUGUGUGAAGAAGGUCUUCGGAUUGUAAAGCGCUUUAGGUUGGGAGGAAGGGCAGUAAGUUAAUACCUUGCGGUUUUGACGUUACCGACAGAAUAAGCACCGGCUAACUUCGUG